GACGAACGCUGGCGGCGUGCCUAAUACAUGCAAGUCGAGCGGACUUUCAAGAAGCUUGCUUUUUGAAAGUUAGCGGCGGACGGGUGAGUAACACGUGGGCAACCUGCCUGCAAGACGGGGAUAACUCCGGGAAACCGGGGCUAAUACCGGAUAAUAUCUUCCUUCGCAUGAAGGAAGGUUGAAAGGCGGCGCAAGCUGCCGCUUGCAGAUGGGCCCGCGGCGCAUUAGCUAGUUGGUGAGGUAACGGCUCACCAAGGCGACGAUGCGUAGCCGACCUGAGAGGGUGAGCGGCCACGCUGGGACUGAGACACGGCCCAGACUCCUACGGGAGGCAGCAGUAGGGAAUCUUCCGCAAUGGACGAAAGUCUGACGGAGCAACGCCGCGUGGGCGAAGAAGGUCUUCGGAUCGUAAAGCUCUGUUGUCAGGGAAGAACAAGUACCGUUCGAACAGGGCGGUACCUUGACGGUACCUGAACAGAAAGCCACGGCUAACUACGUG
rnacentral:rRNA from 1 species